GCAGAGGGGAGCGGAGCGAACGCUCUCGGGGAGAACCGGCCGCUCUCCCUCCGUAUGGGGCGGGGUGGGGGGUGCCGGGCAGUGGAAUGGAUGUCCGCAGUUCCCAUCCCUCCUUCUUUGGCUCGGAGGAGCAGGUCUUUCCCAGUCACUGAAAUACAAAGGCCGGCUCGGGGCCGCGGCUGGGGGCGGAGGGGGGCGCGGGGCGGGGUGAGGGUGUGAGUGCGAGGGGACGCCUCUGCACGCGGGGGCGCAGUGGGCAAAGUUACGCGAAGCCUCCGGGCACCGCUCUGCUCCCGAGCUUCCGCGGGGCUUCAAGCACCGCUCCUCGCACGCGGGGAGUCCCUGGCGCGCGGCCUCCGCGGCCCCCGCCGCGCCCCGCCCCGCCCCCGCGGCCCGGGCGCCCCCCGCCCCGCCACGCGGCGUGCCUGUGUACCUCCGCCCGCGUGUCGGGGGACGCGUGUGUUUGCAGAGCCUCUCCCUGACGGCGCCUCCGGCCGCCGAGACCCAUGGCAAACCUUUCCUCCAGAAGGAACCAAUGAAACUGCAGGACAAAAAGUUCUAUUCAAGAAGGGAACAAGAAGAAGGGGAAAAAAGAUCAACAGUCCUAGGUCUCAGUUCCUGUCCAUUUAACCAUAACUCUUAA
rnacentral:lncRNA from 1 species